CCCCUUCAAAUCCCUGAGCGGCGGGCCUAUAUGGAAAGCGUCGGGUUUCGGCCCGACUAUGGGGAUAAACGCGCGCAUAAUAAGCGGACUGGACCCGGGUGCGAUUCCCGGCGGCUCCACCAAAUCUUCCUCCCGGUUAUCGCGGGGCAAGCAUGGGGCCGAUCAGCAUCGACAGACGUCUAAAGGCGUUGCUUUCUCUCGGCCUGACCCACCGUUCCGGGUCUUUAACUAAAUGCGAACGAUAACUUCGCUGAGGAAGUCCGCCUGGCCGCGUAAGCGGUCCGGUGAACAUCCGACCUAAGUCCUAGGGGUUCAGAUCCUUAGGCGGGGCCCGGGGGAGCCUGCCAACAGAAUCCCCCACC
rnacentral:tmRNA from 1 species